UGUGUGUCUACUAGUAGUCCAACCCUACUGCAGGCCUGUACGGAUCGAACAGACGAUUCCCGAGUGCGACGAAUGUCCUGAAGUCUGCUCCUAGGUCCUAUUACUAUUAGCUAGGUACUACAUGUAUCUAAAAAUUUCAACUUGAGUGUCAAGUGAAGACUUUGUCGGUUGCAGCCGAGGUAAUUCUCGCUUCACGAUUUUUCUGGUGUACGAAGAUACGUUGGAAUGCCGCCCCACCACAUCCGACAGUAUGCUUCGGCAGGAAUGCAGAUACUGUCAACAUUGCUCCAGGGAAUUCAUCCUACACUGCAUCCCACAGGGCAUCCCACACUGCAUCCUACAGUAAGCAGCAGCAGAGAUUUUCCCGACAGCUGCUUGGCAGUGACGCAACGACAUCAUCAAACGGCUCAGCAAGUGACAGCGGUUAUCACCCAUAGACGUCAACAAUGUGUUCAGCGGAUAUAGCCGUCGGUCCAAUCACAAGCCGUCAGAUCCCUCCCCAUGGUGUCAAUGAUCGGCAACAACAGAUGCACUUCCCACUGCUACAACAUCAGUAUGCCAGGUAUACACAGUGACCGCCACAACCAACACUGCAGUAGCAGCAGCUGUAACAUCAGCCAUCGCCACAUCAUCCUAUACAGUUUUCAACGCAUGGAAUGCUCACAGGACUUCUCUCUUGAACUCUGUAACACGUGGUGUGUGUGACAUCACAGUAUCACUCCAAUUGGUGUGUGACAUCACAGUAUCACUCCAAUUCCAGUGACAUCACAGUAUCACUCCAAUUCCAGUGACAUCACAGCAUCACUCCAAUUCCAGCCUGUCAGCCUGUCUCUUCACCGCUCCACACCGUCAUUAAUCAUGAGACCCAUGUUGCACAACCAUCAUGCUCUACUAAAGCAGCAGCAGCACCACCACCAACAUCACCACCUCCACAACAUUCUGCUGAACUGCCUGAUAGCCAUCCUGUUGUUCCCAUGCAAAAGAGGGCAGUUACUGGAUCUGGGAGAGGCCAAUCAGCAGCUGCUGCACUCGAGCAGUCGUCAUAGUUUCAGUCAAAAGUGUGAUGUGAGCGCUUGAACCUUUCAGUCUCGGUCCUGCUAGGCGUCUUCUAGUGGCAGCAGGACAUUUCUUCCACUGUCCAGGUUUGACAACUUUGUUGCCGAAACCAUGAUGCUCUCUGGAGAAUGCAUAACAAGUUUUCCUCAAGGACCAGCUGCAAAAUAGGACAACGCGGUGUGCUGCCUUCCAAUGAGGUGUAAGGAAUGGAUCAUCGAGGGAGGUGUAAGGAAUGGAUCAUCGAGGGAGGUGUAAGGAAUGGAUCAUCGAGGGAGGUGUAAGAAAUGGAUCAUCGAGGGAGGUGUAAGGAAUGGAUCAUCGAGGAGACACUUGAAUUACUGUAACGGUGUCUGGUUGACACUCCAAGCUGAGAAGUCAUUGUGCGGCUCAUCUCCAGAGCAACAUUGUCCUCCUAUACCGCUUUCCUCUACUGACAAGACUACUUCAGGUACAUCAAGAAAAGCAAUGGAAGCAGCAGCAGCAGCCAUAGGGCAGGCGCGUAGCCCGCAUGGGGCACGGGGGCACGUGCACCCCCCCCCCCCCCAAAGGGUUUGACCUAGGUUCAUAAUGACCAUGAAUUACACUCACCAGCCAUCCAACACAUAUGCGGUGGCCGUGCACCCCCUAAACGGGGGACUCCCCCCCCCCCCCAACCCCUGUAGGAGUGCUGUUCUGAAUAGAAGCCUGAUUUUUACGAUACACUGAUGUCAUAAAAGCCUAGUUUUAUUGUUGACAUACAUAGGAAAUUAAUAUCUGAUUAGAAUAGAAGCCGCCGGCCUCUACCGGAAUAAGCCCGACUAUAAUAUUAUUAUGCGACAUCACGGUCGUUUUAUAUACUGAAUCUACACAUCAUGCCACCAUUGCUGGCAAGUAAGUUCCAUUUCCCAGGCAAUAACAUUCUGCUAAGGUUACCGUACUCGCGUGAUUAGAGCUCUCUCUCUCGAAUAGCGCCCCAGUCUCCAAGAACCAGUGAAAAAAUAAAGCCCUCUCUUGAAUAGUGCCCCUCCCCCCC